UACGAAGGGGGCUAGCGUUGCUCGGAAUUACUGGGCGUAAAGCGCACGUAGGCGGUCUUUUAAGUCGGGGGUGUAAUCCUGGAGCUCAACUCCAGAACUGCCUUCGAUACUGGAAGACUUGAGUCCGGGAGAGGUGAGUGGAACUGCGAGUGUAGAGGUGAAAUUCGUAGAUAUUCGCAAGAACACCAGUGGCGAAGGCGGCUCACUGGCCCGGUACUGACGCUGAGGUGCGAAAGCGUGGGGAGCAAACAGG
rnacentral:rRNA from 1 species